AUUGAACGCUGGCGGCAUGCUUUACACAUGCAAGUCGAACGGUAACAGCACUUCGGUGGCUGACGAGUGGCGCACGGGUGAGUAAUACAUCGGAACGUGCCUAGCAGUGGGGGAUAACUACUCGAAAGAGUAGCUAAUACCGCAUGAGAUCUAAGGAUGAAAGCAGGGGACCUUCGGGCCUUGCGCUACUAGAGCGGCUGAUGGCAGAUUAGGUAGUUGGUGGGAUAAAAGCUUACCAAGCCGACGAUCUGUAGCUGGUCUGAGAGGACGACCAGCCACACUGGGACUGAGACACGGCCCAGACUCCUACGGGAGGCAGCAGUGGGGAAUUUUGGACAAUGGGCGCAAGCCUGAUCCAGCAAUGCCGCGUGCAGGAUGAAGGCCUUCGGGUUGUAAACUGCUUUUGUACGGAACGAAAAGCCCUCUUCUAAUACAGGAGGGUCAUGACGGUACCGUAAGAAUAAGCACCGGCUAACUACGUG
rnacentral:rRNA from 1 species